AUUAGGUUGGUGCAAAAGUGAUUGUGGUUUCUCCCAUUACAAUAGCAAAAACCACAAUUGCUUUUGCACCAACCUAAU
rnacentral:miRNA from 1 species